rnacentral:tRNA from 1 species
GCAUCUAUAGUCUAAUGGAUAGAACGCUGGACUCCGAUUCCAGUAAUGUGGGUUCGAUUCCCGCUAGAUGCA